GAGAGAGGCAUGACUGCGGUAAAGACUGCUAACCUUCGCUCCUUUGGUUAAAUUCCAGAGCUCACUCG
rnacentral:tRNA from 1 species